rnacentral:rRNA from 1 species
UACGGGGGGUGCGAGCGUUAAUCGGAAUAACUGGGCGUGAAGGGCAUGUAGGCGGACUUUUAAGUGAGGUGUGAAAUCCCCGGGCUUAACCUGGGAAUGGCAGUUCAUACUGGGAGUCUAGAGUACUUUAGGGAGGGGUAGAAUUCCACGUGUAGCGGUGAAAUGCGUAGAGAUGUGGAGGAAUACCGAAGGCGAAGGCAGCCCCUUGGGAAUGUACUGACGCUCAUGUGCGAAAGCGUGGGGAGCAAACAGG